GAGAGAGAGAGAGGGAGAGGGAGGGAGGGAGGGAGGGGGAGAGAGAGAGGGAGGGAGGGAGGGGGAGGGAGAGAGGGAGGGAGGGAGGGAGGGAGUGGGAGGGAGAGAGGGAGAGAGGGAGGGGGAGAGAGAGAGAGGGAGGGAGGGAGGGAGGGAGGGAGAGAGAGAGAGAGAGAGAGAGAGAGAUAUCGGGAGAGUGGUGACAGGUCCCACCUCUGUGUCCCAUGUCACUUCUGGCAGUGUGAGCAUGGGAACGUCGUUUAACCCCUAAUCUUUGGUUUUCUCUGUCCGUGAAGUAGACAGAAAAAGAGCUCCUGUACAUGGUUGCUGUGAGGCUCGAAUGAGCUGAAUGCAGGUGAAAGUGCUUUAGAAACUCUAAGCUAGCUAGAAAUAUUAGUUAUUAUUGUUCUUAUCAUUCUUACAUUAAAAUGUAAUCUGCCCAAACCAUUUGGGAAGCAUUGCACACUAGCCCCACUUGGAGACUUGUAGUAUGCAUAUUAUUGUCUGUUUGUUCAGUGGUUUGCUCACCGUACUGAUUAAUAUUAGAACUAAAGCAGUAUAUUUCAGAAAGCAACCAGGAGUAGCCAUUCUCGGAAGUGUUAUACAAGCAUUAAAAAUUAUGUUUGCAGAGAGAGUGAAGUGUCUGGGCAGGCUUCAACAAAGCAAGCAGCUUAGGGAGUAUAUAGGGUAUAUUAUUACAAUUAUAAAAGAAACGCACAGAAAAAAAUACUUGAAGGAUCUAUGCCAAAAUAGUAAGUGGGUACCUUAGGGCGUGGGACUUGGAGUAAUUUUUCGUCUUUGUUAUACUUUUCUGUGCUUUAAGCAUACAUUGCCAUGCCCUUACAUUACUUCUGUAAUCGAAAAGAUAAAUUCAUGAACAAAACAACAGCCCCUCACCACCCCCGCUUCCCCACCCAGUACAGGUGAGAAUUAGAUGCUUGAAGAACUAAAAGGACAAACGUAUUGAUUUCAUCUUUUUAAUAUUUUCCUGGUUCGUCUUCCCUUCAACACUGUUUUCAUCUGGCAGAGAAAACGGGACUCUGCACAGAAACGGUAGCGACCAAAGCGAAAUAUCCCCUAGCAGAGUCUCGAAUUGCUCUGCCCUCUUGGGACCUCCUGCCUAAAUUUUUUGGUAAUGAAAUUUGAUCCUGACUUCAGCUAAAGCUAUUGUGUAUUAAUCUCGCAUUUCUAUGUAGCAUAGGAUGUCUAGAAUGUCUAUUUAGUGUAGAAUGUAUUCGGCAGCCUGUAGAGACCAGAGAUAACGAAUUGUUAUGUAUCUUCUGUUUUGCCCUUGUGAGCCUUGCAGUCCGGUUUGCAGGCAUGUGGAAGUGGAUGCAUUCAUGUGUCCCCCUGGCACGCAUAAGAGGAUGGGAGAAGUGUGCUGAGUAUUCUUUUCUAGGAGAAGUGGGUUUCUCCAGCUCUUUCAUAAUUCUUGGCCCCUCCCUUUCAUUACAAGGAUUAGUCACCAUUUCAGAUUUCAGAUUUGGCCUGGGGCACUUCCUGUUUAGGUGUGGCUCUAACGUGUGCCUCUUGUCUGCCUUUGGGGUCUCCCUCUUCACCCCCCUCUAGGGCUCUUGCUCCUACCGUGACUGUUGCCCUCUACAUCCUGCGGUUUUUCCCAGUGCCUGCUGUGCUGUCACCUGCCACUUUCUCCAAAACCAUCCCCUUGUCUCACCCCGCAGGAAAAUUCUCCCUGUAGCCGUUACCCCUGCCACCAAUUUUAGUGCCAGAAAGUGUGCUGGCCUCACUGUACGUGGAUAGCCAGUCCUCUCCUUUUAAGUGGUACUGUGCUGCUGAUCGGGUGGGGGAGAAACCAUGUUGGCUAAUUGCUCAUCCCCGCGCUCAUUUCUUCAUCUCUUCAUACUGGGUGCCGGGGCGGGGGCAGUGUGCGGUGGGAAUGCCACACAAGGCGGACACAGAUCCUGCCCCCAUUCUUGGGCCUGGAUCCAGGGACUGGCAUUCCUCUCGCCUCUUCUCACUCUUCAGAGGUCAUUGCUGCUGCUUAUGGGGUGGAGAGCAGAGGCAGGUGGACAUUAUGUGGAAGAAAGGAAAAGCUGAGGGUCAGGGCCGGGGUGGCAGACCGGGUCCAGUCCUGAUUUGGUCCACUAACUUGUCGGUUUCCCUGUCGGAAACGGAACAGUAACCAUGGUAAGGCUACCAGUUGCGUAUUGCCCAUCAGCACAGGCCAGUAUCUUGACCGGCCCUUCACUCACGUAAUUUCACUUUACCUUCUCUGCAGCCCUGCGAUAUAGGUUGGCUUAUUUUGUCCCUGUGUCACCUUCAAAGAACCCGAAGCUCAAAGAUAAAUCACAAAAUGGUAGAGCAGGAAUUUGGACCCAGUCUUGGUGCCCAAGGCCUGCACUCUUCUUGUUACACUGAACAGCAGACUGGCUUGGAUGAUCGUUUCCCAAAGUGUGUUCCAAAGAGGCCGAGUUGCAAAAGGCGUUCCUCGGAGAAAGGCUUAGUGACCAGGUGACUUUAGGAAGCACUGGGCGCCGAGGACCAGGGCCCGGUCCACGAUGGUGUUAAUCCUUCUCUCGGGGCUUUGUCCGUGGAUUUAACACAGGCUCCCCAGAUGCCCAGGAGGCAGCGCAGAGUUGUGGUUAAAGGCUGCAAAGUGGGGAUUCUGGUCCUGCCAGUUACUGUGUGACCCUGGGCAAGCACUUAACCCCCUCUGUGUCUCAGCCAUCUCGGCUGUGAAUAAUUUCCCUCUUUGGGUUGUUAUGAGAAUUAGAUGGGUUCAUACAAGUAAAGUACUCAGCACAGUAGCUGGCACCUGGUAGGUGCCUGGUGCCUGUUGGCUAUUAUUAUUGCUGUCAUUGUCAUUGCUGGUAUUGGCUCAGGGCAUAGAAUGGCUCAAAACACACCCGGCUUCUGAGAAGUCAAAGCAGAGAAUGCUGGCUUUGUUUUCUCCAAAGUUUCCCCUUCUCUUUUGCCAUCAUACUCGUUUGAUCACAAAAACACCCACCUGCAUGUAGAAGCCUCAGCUCCACGGGACACGCUGUGGAAGUACUGGCACAGGUGGUUGUGACGACUUUGCACAGCCUCAGGAUCCAGCAAGCCGACCUCAGUGCCUUCACACCGUCCCCAGGCAGUGGACUGUCGUUGUGUCAGAGUUGGAAGGGCCACAGCCGUCUACCAGCCCACCUGUUUGGUUGCAGGCCUCCCAUGGAGGACAGUUUUAUUUGGACCACAGCAGAAGAGCGAUCUCUUUCCUACAGCCUACCAAAGAAAUAGAAGGGCUUGUGAAGCAGGAGGAGAGGGGUCCUUUCCCUUCCCAGCAUGUGUGUGUGUGUGUGGGGGGGGGGGGGGGUUAGUGGUAUUUGGGUGUGUGUAUAAGUUUGAUGGUGAUGUGGGGUGUGUGUGUGCUUUAAUGGUAUUUAGGUGUACGUGUGGGUGUGUAGGGUUUAAUGGUGGUGUGUGUAUGUGUGUGUGCGUGCGUGUGUAGGGUUUAGUGAUGAUGGGGUGCGUGUGGUUUGAUGCUUAUGGGGUGCGUGCGUGUGUGGUUUCAUGGUAUUUAGGUGUAUGUGUGGGUGUGUGUAGGGUUUAAUGGUGAUGGUGUGUGUGUGUGUAGGGUUUAGUGAUGAUGGGGUGUAUGUGUGGGUGUGCGUAGAGUUUAACGGUGGUGGGGUGUGUGUGGUUUCAUGGUAUUUGAGUGUGCGUGUGUGUGUUUUUGUGUAUGUGAACUUUAAUGGUGCUGUCAUGUUGUGGUUUCACGGUGUGUGGGUGUGAGUGUGGGCGUGUGUAAGGUUUCACGGUGACGGUGGAUUUCAUCAGGGCCCUCCCCACCUUUGCCCUUCGUCAGGGCCCUCACACCUUUUUUUUGUUUGUUUGUUUUUUUGCGGUACACGGGCCUCUCAUUGCUGCGGCCUCUCCCGUUGCGGAGCACAGGCUCCGGACGCGUAGGCACAGCGGCCAUGGCUCACGGGCCCAGCCGCUCCGCAGCAUGUGGGAUCUUCCCGGACUGGGGCAUGAACCCAUGUCCCCUGCAUCGGCAGGUGGACUCUCAACCACUGUGCCACCAGGGUAGCCCACUGUCACACCUUUUGUUCUAUGUCAGGCCCACCCCAGAGAGCACGACGAUGAACCUAUUUCCAGCCGAGGAGGAGAGUCGUUCCCACGCUUUGCCUCUGCACGUCCUGGGGGACGGCAGGUCUGUGUGUGAGGAAUCGUGUCCUCUUCACGCAGCAGCGUGUAGUUAGGGUUGCCUUCCUGCCUCAGCUUUGUGGAUCCCACAAGAGCUGCGACGUCCGCCAGCCCCCCACAGCCGCCUGAGGUAAUCAGCUCAUGUUCAGGUUCAUGGGAAUGGGCAUCAGUGUUGUGUCCACAGUGAUUCCGUGGAGGGCCCUGAUGAGCUAUCAAUUAUAAGUGGAAUCCACAAAGAAUACAGCUUUAAUGCAUCACAAAUGUGACCUAUCUAAAACAGGUCUGUUGGGACAUAAUAAAAAUUAGGUAUUUAAUCAUGUUGGGGGCUGUCUUCGAGUUUUGAGGUCUUAGCAGUCUCAAAUCCCUGGGAAGAGAAGGCCUCUGCUGUCUUUAUGCAGUGAAGAUACAAGGUAGUUCUUCCAGUUUUUAAUGUGCUUACAAAAUUGGGAUCAUCCUUUUCAAAAGCGUCCUCCUCAGGCCGUGAACGGUGCCCUGUCCGUGACCUUCACUGUGAGAGUUGACAGAGGAAGAAUUUGCGGCACCUGGUUUUAUUGGGACAUUCUGCGCAUUGAAGAGGGCGCUUGGUGCCGUCCGGUGUGGAAUGAGGGGCCAGCUCCCUGGUUUGCACCCGGCUCCAGCACUUUCACUGCACAGUGACUUGAGGACGCCAUGCCUCCGUGUCCUGAACUGAAAAAACGGGGGUGACCAGGACAUUGUCACACGCCUUUUUUUUUUUUUUUUUUGCGGUACGCGGGCCUCUCACUGUUGUGGCCUCUCCCGUUGCGGAGCACAGGCUCCGGAUGCGCAGGCUCAGCGGCCAUGGCUCACGGGCCCAGCUGCUCCGCGGCAUGUGGGAUCUUCCCGGACUGGGGCACGAACCCGUGUCCCCUGCAUCGGCAGGCGGACUCUCAACCGCUGUGCCACCAGGGAAGCCCAUGUCACGUGCUUUUAAUGAGUCCGUGCAGAUAAGCAUUUAGAGCAGAGUGUGGCCUAGAGUAAGGGCACGUAAGCAUCGGUUACUGAUGUGGCAGAGGCUUGACAUCCACGUAACUCCCAGUGAUCAGAGGAGGUGACGUGCAGAGAAGAUGCACCACUUGCUACUGAGAUUUAGGGAGAAGCCAGGAGCCCAGGAAGCACCUCUGGGUGCGUCUCUCUCGUGGACACUGGUGGUUGUCUGCGCUGGACACCAGCACUCUGGGUCCCAAAUCGGUCCCUGCUCUUGGCACCUCACAGUGCCAGGCAGGGGGCAGACCUGAGAACAGACAUGUGGUUUUUAAAGAUACAAUAGGGUACAGUACCAGUGUAAGCCGAUAAAAGGCAGUGAGGGGCAGAAUGAGAGGUUAAUUUCAACUAGGGGAUCUGAGAAGAUAAUAUUUGAGUUCCACCCGCCAGGGUGAGCUGCCCCAGUGGGUGUUGCUCCAGUUAGGGGGCGUCAGAGGGUGUUAUCUGGAGAUAUUGACCAGGAAGCGAGUCCACCCCCCCACCCCACCCCCAGUUGAUCUCGAGCCGGCAGGUCCCUGGAGGGUGGAUUCAGGCAUCCAGACUCAGACAGGAGCCUCACUGGCAGCCCAGUGACCCAGUGCCAUUGUCAGCGGGUUCCUUCCCUCACCUCCUCCAGGCUGGCUCUCCCACCUUUCAGGCGGGUCCCUGACGUAAAUCCAUCCAGGUCAGCAGGCUUCGUGGGGGCCCGAGGGCCUUUGUGGCUGGGGGCCUGGGCUAGACAACUAGCAGCAAGAGCAUCUCCCACCAGUGCCCACGCCAGUACCAGAGCCCCACUGCGCCUCCCACCUGCUGCCACCUGCUCCCAGAGCCCAGCGUGGUCAACUCACUUCCCAUCGGGCCCCAGAGGCCAUGCCCAGUUCGCCGCAGCUGGACUGACUGAGACUUCUCAGCCACCCAUUUUCAGAUCCUGGUCUAGCGUGAGUCCCUUUAAUGGACGGCUCAUCUCUUAUUUUUUCCACGGUUUUAUUCUCAGAGGGUAAAAGCUUACCUUCCGUAGUUUGGGGUUGUCUUGACCCUUGACCCUGUGUUUUUCACUGGCUACUAGCAUUUAAAGUGGGGAACAUUCUAGAGGAAGGGAAGUAUAGUCUGCAGGGAGUUGUGAGCCGUCCUGUAUCGCUGGACUCUCGGGCACGGGGAAGACAUGGAGUAAUGUGUGUGAUGUGAUCGAAAAGGUCUUUAUUGCUUAUGGAGCAAGAGAGGGAGGAGGAGAGAGAGAAGGCCGGUGCGUGGGGGGUGUCCCUGUGGAGGGCUGUCGAGGGAGGGAAGGAUGUUGGUGGGACGGCUGUGCGGACGGCCGAGGCCCGCCCUGCCCCUCCCCCAGUGGGCGCCAGGGCUCCCCUCAGGUGGCACUUCCAGCAGGCAGUCUGUGUCCUUGGGAGGAGCUAGAGCGAGAGGGAGAAGUAAUGCGAGGGGAGGACUGCCGUGCCUGGGUUUAUAGAUGCUUUUCCCCCAAGAGCUGUCCUCACGGUUUUCGAGGUGACUGUCCUGUGUCUGUGUCUUUCCUCAGACGAGCCUUUUUGCGCCCCAAUGUCCCGAGCAUUCAUGGUGACCAGCGACUGUGCUAGGUGAUCAGGACCCAGUUUCUCUUCUCACGCGUGGUGGUGACCUGAUCCGAUCUGUGCCCCGGAAAGGCCACUCUGGGGCAGGUGGCGAUGAGCAGCGAGGGGCUUGCCUUUUGUCACACAGCUGGAAACUGGCAGGGCCUGGCUGGCCGACUCCCCAGUCGCGCUUGGGGCCUCUCGGUGCUGCCACGUGCCCCGGCUUCGAUAUUCCAAAGUCCCCUCUGAGACACAGUUGAGACGGGAGGGCAUGGGUGGCCUCGGUGGCUUCCCCCUGUGUCUCCCAGGGCUCAUCACCCACUGCUGCUCUCUACCUGUUUUAAUCCGUGCUCCUACAGGGCUUCCCUCUGAACGGGUAACAGCACGCCAUCAGCAUGAUUCUGGCUGAGAUCUGCUGGGAUAAUGCCUGAGGGCGGGCUGGAUGGACGAGUAGAGGGACCCUUACAGAAGGCCGUGACGUGGCCCUUUUCCUGAGCAUCUACCCUGAGCUGGCCUCAUGCCAGGCCGUCCCCACCAUGAGAGAGGGACUUGACACAUCUGUCCCAGUGCCUGCACCCAGUCCCAGGACUUGGGUCGCAGCUGCCUUUGAAAGGGCCUGUUUGGAAUCUUUUUCCAUUUAACACAUUUGCAACUUAGCUAAGUGUCUUUUUCAAACGCUAAUAAAGCCUUAACAGCUUCUAAGACACCGCACUAGACCUGAGACAGGCUGACAAUUUGGAUUCCGUCUCCAGUGGGAAAGAUUCGACACUGCAGGUUUGAGGAGCUUUGAAAAGCUUCUUGUUUGUGUAAUGUUCAUCGGACACAGAUUCUUUUGCAAACAAUGGCCUGCAAGUGCUUUAAAGAAAUAAACUCCGCUUGCUUGGCCGGGGCGUGUAUCUGUCAGUGGUAGAACCACAAACACACGUUCUGUUGGCUGAAUUGUUUAAUUAAACCACAUCCUUGAAAUGAUCCGAGCCAUGUGAAGGGACAGUAUGGACACCACACUUUCUGAAAAGAUAUGUCAAGGGUCCCCAGAAACAAAUAACCAGAAUUUAUCCUAGACAAGUCAUUUCCUCUCUCUGGACCUGUUUCCUCAUCUGUAAAAUGAGGUAGCAGGCCUGGGACACCCACAGAAUCCUUGGGGUAAUGCAGUGUGAAGAUUCGCUGUUACUUGGAAUAAUUGUAAUGCCUUAGGGUUUUAUCCAUUUCCCCCCCUCUAUCUUCCCUUGAAACGGUAGGAGAUUCCCUUAUCGAAUGCAGGUUCAAAAUAUGAGAAUCAAGGGACCAAGAUGAUGGCCCAAGUGGUUCUCCUGGUCAACCCUGUCCAGGCUUGGCCUUUGCUUUUAAAGUGGCUCAGAACCCUGGAUAUGUGGGUGGCGAGGGCACCGGAAGAGUCUUGAGAAUCCUUCAGGCCUUUCCGGGAUGUCCCUGCUGCCGGAUGGGAGGCAAGGCUGUGGAGGAGGAACCCGGAGGCUGGUCCGGCUCUGCAGCCCGUCAGCUGUGUGGCCUUGGGCCUCCCUGUGUGUCCUUUCCCCGCCCCCUCCCUCAUGGGGAGAGAGGGCUGGCCAGGCCCCUUCUGGGCCUGACAACUCCUGGAGCUGGAGCCUGGGGUGUUAUGGGGAGCGCUCAGCAGCUGACGGCUCUCAUCACCCUAAGAAAGUCAGGCUACUGAAGCCAACUUAAAUGAAUAGAGCCCCAGAUUUCCCCCAGCCUUAAAGAAAGCUUGAGACUAGAUUGGGAAGGCCCAAUUCUGUUACAAACCAAAGUGACCAAAUCAUACUUUUGUAAAUUCCACUUACUUUUUUUUUUUUUUUUAAGUCCUAAAUUUUCAGCUUUUCCAGCAUGCAAGUUCGUAGAAUCAUUUGCUUUUCAGUGGUUGAAAGGAACUUAAGAUGUACCAGUUAUUUCAAAGUUGUGAAGCAGAGACUAAAAUAGUCUGAAGCUGAAUUUUAAGCCUCUUUUGGCGGGAUCAAAGAAACCCAAACUUCUAAAAAUACCAAAUUAGCUUUUUAAGCAUAGUUUCUAUCUUUAGUUGAAAAAUGUGUGCAGUGUGGGCUCCUGGAGCCUCCUUAAAUGUAUCCAUUGAUAUUAGCAUUUACCCUGAAAAAUGAGGCGUUUGACCUGCGUUAAUAAAGUCACUUUCUCUGCCGUUGACUUUCCCCUCCCCCCGGUGUCAGGAUUCCACAGGGUAGACCAAGACCUCCUCCCUUUCCCUUUCUUGAGUUCAGCCCUGUCUUGCAGGAGUUUGCCGUGGUCCAAGUUAUAUUCUUGAAAACCAAGAUGCACAGACACGGGCCUGAGCCUUCAGCUUCCAUGUCAGAAGUUAAAAUGGAUACUCCUACUUAGGGCGUAAGCUGAAAUAUUUGUAUUUGGGUUGCAAAUGUGUGAUAUGAUGCUCUCUGUAGCAGAUUGGCCUUUCUAAUUGCCGUGCUUGUUAAAAUUUAAAUUAGUUUUAGCUUUCCUAACAAAUGUUGACUGACAGUCACAGAAAAUGGCCCAGAAUCCUGGUGAAUGGGGGGCCGGGCCGGCCUGGGGUAGGACAGACCAUUCGGAGUAGCUAGCCUUGACUUUCAGUGCUUCCAUUACAGAUGUUUCAGAGACAGAGCUCCUUGCCAUACCUAGCUGGCCGCGGGGCGCACGGGGGAGGCGGCUCUCCCACUGUGGUCGUUGAGGGAAACACCAUCUCUGAUACAGGCUUCAUGUAGACAGGCCAGGCUCCAGCCAGAUGGGGUACAGGGGAAUGGGCAGUGGGCCACACACCCAGGAUUGCAGACCCUAACCUCCAGGAGUGGGCCACGGUCCCCCAGGCCUCUCCUGGGGGUGCCGAGGUGCCCAGGGCUGUCCGGGGACUUUGGGUGGGAUCUCUGCCAGUUUUGCCUUGUUAAGAGGAGAGGGGACAAGGGAACAGUACAGGGGAAAGAAGGGGAAGUGACUUUUCUUAAGCACGUACUUUGUGCCAGGCACCAGGCUGAGCAUAUUCACGUGCGUCAGCUAAUUAAAUCGUCACAGCAUCCCUGAAAAUAUACUUUGCCCAUUUUGCAUCUGAGGAGGCUGAGGCUCAGAGAGGUUCCCGGCCUGCCCAGGGUGGUGCGGCCGGUAAGUGGUGGAGCUAAUACUGCGUCCAGGUUCGUCUGACCCUGAAACCGUGCUCUUGCCACUGUGCCAUCCCUGCCCUGUUGGCUGGUUGUGUUCUGCCUACUUCCAGAACGGUUUCAGGUGGCUUGCAAAGGUGUAACAAGCAAGGCAGUGAGGCUGGGAGCUAGUGGGAAGGAAAAGAAAGAACGGGGAAAUCCAAAGCCAUGCUCCCCAGACGCUGCAUGCUUCACGGUGAUGAGACACAGACUUGACUGCGAGCUUCCUAGCACCCAGUGUAAAGAGGGCAACCAGAUGAGUCACAUGACUCACAGACACAAAAACAAAGCAUUCCUCUAGGAAAAGCACAGAGCCUCUAGUGUUGGUAAACUGUCUUCCCAGGAUCCUCAUAAAGAGUAUUUUUUGAUCGGUUUUUUUUUUUUUUUGCGGUACGCGGGCCUCUCGCUGCUGCGGCCUCUCCCGUUGCGGAGCACAGGCUCCGGACGCGCAGGCUCAGCGGCCAUGGCUCACGGGCCCAGCCGCUCCGCGGCAUGUGGGAUCCUCCCGGAGCGGGGCACGAACCCGCGUCCCCUGCAUCGGCAGGCGGACUCCCAACCACUGCGCCACCAGGGAAGCCCUUUGCUCGGUUUUAUGGCUUACAUGUUUCUGGCAACCAAUGCCAUUGGCAUGUAUCUUCUGGAUUAAUAGAGGUAGCGUUGCAUUUAUCUGAAAGAUGAAGGAAAGAAAAUUGCAGGCCCAUUAUUUGGAGUGGACACAUUUCUAGAGGUAGAGACACUUCUGUCUGGAUUUAUGAGGUGUGGGUGACCCUUUGAUUUCAGAUACAGGGCAAAUGCGGUGUGUAAAAAUACUGAUCAUCGGAAGUGGAAAAGAAGCCCCAACCCACCUCGCUUGAAUAGGCUUGGUUCUGAGUGGGGCUUGGGUGGUCUUCCGGAGCCCACACUACUGACAGCCUGGGAGGGGCCCAGAGUGCAAGGGGGCCCAGGGAGGCUGCGACCUGGGGGCACAUCUGCUUUCUCUGACUCUGCCCUGACUUUAGCUCACCAGUGGCCUGUUCUGCCUCAUUCGUGGCGGAACUUACUCUCAGCACAUUCUUUGUAGGGGUUUGGGUUCAGCCACUGAACGAGAGAGAGAGAUUCCUCCCUUCUCACAACCCUUAGUUCCAUUUCCGAAACUCCUGGGAGGAACCCUGGCCCAGUGCAGGGCCCAUGUCUCAUUUAGACCGGUGUGCGGUGGGCAGCAGGCAGGUCGCGUGCUGACAUGAUGGGAGGGAGAAGGGGCAUGUCCCAGAUGAGGCGGCCCCCGGUGACCCAGGACCCCUCCCAGGCACUGUCUGUAGAGGCAUCGGUGGGUGUCAGAGGGGGUGUCAGGAGGGGCCCAGGAGCCCCGUUGCGUGGUGACCAACAGAUGCUGCCCCUUUUCCACACUCAAGAGAUGUCUGAUGCCUGCAAGGAGCCACACCUUCCCGUCACCUCUGACCCCAGCAGGCUUCCAACCAGUGACCUUAAGGUGAGAAGCUCUGAUUACCGACAAGUCUAGCCAGCUUCUGCCUUCCUUUAUUUGACUCUAAAAAUGAUACCUGGGUUUUAGAGGAUUGCUUCUCAGGCAGCUGAAAUCACUGCUCCCACGUUCUGGUACUUUUCAGGAGAGAAGAAUCAGGUGGCUUCCUUUUGUCCUGGUCCAGGCAGAGUGGAAAGCCGGGCUGGCUUCCUCAGGCAGAGGCUGGGCACCUUUGGAUUUUCCCUGUAGUCUGAACUCACCUGGGAGGUGAGUCUGAACUCACCAGGGGCCUUGUGUGUCCUUCCCCACUGGACACACAAGGCCUCUAGAUGACAUGACCCCCUCCCGGUGGCUCUGUGACCUCAGCGGGACUCGGCUCACGCUCCUGUCACAGCCCCGAGGAGGCACGCGUUUUCCACCAGAGUCUCUCUCAACCCCUCCCCACCAAGCCAACGCCAGGAUGCAGCCCGCUGAUGGGAGAGUUGGGGACUGAAGGGACUAAGUCCUUUUUUGCUUUGGCCGUUUCAGUUAGGGUUGAUAUACCUACAGGAAGAUGCCUGCUUCAUUAGGUACACACUCAGUCACCCUCCCCAAACCGAGCUCAUCCGUGUACCAACAGCCAGAUCAAGAGCGCUACCAGCACCCGCAGAAGCCCCUCUUUGGGGCCCCAGAAUCGGAAAAAGUUUUAAAGAAAGAGGGAAAGGAAAACAACGUUUACUAAUUAGCUUUUAUGGAACAGGCUCUGUGCAUACUCUCCACAUUGCCCCAAAUCCUCAUUUGAAAGAUGAGGAAUCAGACCCAGGAAGGGACAGGUGACCUGACCAAAGCCACGGCCACAGAACCAGGUCUCCUCAAAUCCCAACACAAUGCAUUUCAUCUAAACCCUGCUCCUGACUUUCCUUCUCUCCCUGUCUUUUAUAGAUUGUUGGGAAGUGAGAUAGCAUAUUAAUAUUUCCAAAACUUCUUGUGAAAUUUUGAAGUGUUGUGUAAUGAUUAAGAUGGCAACUAGGAACUAGGAAAUGAGAGCUUUUAAUCCCAGCUUACAGGAAAUUCUAACUAGUAGGAAAUCUAAUUCAGGCAGUCCUGGGAAACAUCACACCGCUCUGAGAUGAAAGUCAGCUAAAUUGGGAUCUAAUUCUAUAAUCUAAAUAUAGAUGUAGAUAUAUUACAGGUUGGCCUUUUCAGCUUGGGAGAGGAUCGUUCACUCUAAAAAGUGCCCUUUGUGUCAUAGAGAAGAGCGGCUGGCCAGGGUGACGGCCCAGAAAGGCAAGGAGGGGCUUUGACUUUUUUAUACCUUAGUCUUUAUUUUCUUAAAUUUCGUAAUAAGAAUGUAUUUGUGCAUUACAUGUGUAAUACACGAAUUUAAAGGGCCAGAGGGAAGACUCUUAGCAGAGUGUUUUCAGUGUGGACAGGAGGUUUGCGGGUAGCCUUUGCCUUUCCCACAUUAGUGACGAUGGAGGGUGAAGGUGUCAGCUGCUGUCGCCUGUCCCAGGGACACAGAGCCCCCCCUGGAGUUGACUAGCUCAUUGGCCUUUGCGUGGCAAGGGCUCUUUUAUUUUAAACAUGUUUGAUUACAAAAUUAACAUGCUUAUAAAAGUUAAACCAUUCCAGACGUGCAAGACAUAACAAAAUUUAAAGUCGUCCCCCCUUCCCCCACCCCCACCCCCCAGUUUCAGAGGUCACCACUAUCAGUUACAUAGUAUGUAAUUAUUUGUUUUGAUUAUUGUUUCUUCCCUAUGAGAACAUUUUUUUCCCUAUGUCUUGUUCAGUGAUGCAUCUCAGGCGUAGAGAACAGUAUUUUGCGCGAAGCAGGUGGUGUGUCAGUGUCUGUGGGGUGCGUGGACGCCGCAGCAGACGUCUUUGUACAUGAGUCCUUGACCAUUUGUGCAAGUAUGACUGCAGGACAGAUUCUUGGGUGUGACAUUGCUGGGCCAAAGGGUAUGUAUGUGUUUUCCUUUUCUGGUUCUGCCGAUUUGGCAUCCAAAACGGUGUCCUCAGUUGUCACUCACUCUUCACCAGGUGACAGACAGGACAGUGGGACUGUCCUUUUCCUCAUGACCUCACUAGCACUGGAUAAGUCAGUUAUUGCAUCUUCCACUGGUAAAAAAUGUAUGUAUAUUCCUUUAAGUUCAUACUUCCUCAAUCAACAGUGAGGUUGAACAUCUUAUACUAUGUUUAUCAGCCAGUAGUAUCUCUUGUGUAAACUGUCUCAACGUCCUUUGCUAAUUUUUUUAGUGGGCCGUUUGCCUCGUCUUCUUGGUCCAUUUUGGUGUGUAGAGAGUGUGGUAUUAAUAUUUUCUCAUAUCUUGUAAAUUGCAGAUAUUUUCCCCAAGCCUGUCAUCUGUCUUGUAAAUAUAAACAUGUUUUUCUACAUCCUCUUAUAGUAAUUAAGGAAUUCUGGUUUUUCAUUUGAUUUUUUUUUCAUCUGACAGCAGUUUUGUGUAUGUGGUUUGAGGUGUAGGAUCUAACGACUUUUUUCCCCCCAAGUGGAUAGGUGAUUCUCCCCAUGCAGUAUUCUUUUAAAUAGCCUAAAUAAAAGAAUAAAAUUUUGUCUUUGAGAGAUGGGGAUUGUGAACCCAAAAACAUGCAUAGCAAUUUUUACUUAAAAAUCCAGACCGGCAGCAGGAGCAGGUCAUUAAAUUCAUUUUAAUGAAUAUUCCCUAAAAGCCAAAACUCGUAGAAGUGGUUGCCCGAGGGCUUUCCAGAAAGCUGUAACUGAAAGGUUUCUACCAUCGGUCUUCCCUCCUCUUUCCCUUUUUCGAGCAGCCAUUAAAGAUCUGAUGACGGGGGUGAA